rnacentral:miRNA from 1 species
AACUAAGUUUGUUAUUGGUAUGAGCUUUUGUGUGCAUGCAGGUAUUCUUCAGGUAUCUGAAGAAGUGUGCAUGCACACGAAAGCUCAUACCAAUAACAAACUUAGUUGG